rnacentral:rRNA from 1 species
UACGUAGGUGGCAAGCGUUGUCCGGAUUUACUGGGCGUAAAGGGCGCGUAGGCGGCUUGACAAGUCACUUGUGAAAUCUCCGGGCUUAACUCGGAACGGCCAAGUGAAACUGUCAUGCUAGAGUGCAGAAGGGGCAAUCGGAAUUCUUGGUGUAGCGGUGAAAUGCGUAGAUAUCAAGAGGAACACCUGAGGUGAAGACGGGUUGCUGGGCUGACACUGACGCUGAGGCGCGAAAGCCAGGGGAGCAAACGGG